GAUGAAGAACGUAGCGAAAUGCGAUAAGUAAUGUGAAUUGCAGAAUUCAGUGAAUCAUCGAAUCUUUGAACGCACAUUGCGCCCGCCAGUAUUCUGGCGGGCAUGCCUGUCCGAGCGUCAUUUCAACCCUCGCGCCCAUCUGGGCUGCGGUGUUGGGGACCGGCCUGCCCCCCGGGGCGCGCCGCCCCCCAAAUUCAGUGGCGGUCUCGCUGCAGCCUCCCUUGCGUAGUAGCACACCUCGCACCGGAGCGCAGCGCGGCCACGCCGUAAAACCCCCGACCCCCAUGAGUUUGACCUCGGAUCAGGUAGGGAUACCCGCUGAACUUAAGCAUAUCAAUAAGCGGAGGA
rnacentral:misc_RNA from 1 species